UUGGACUCGUCUUGUAAGAUCUGAGAAAAAAGUCAAUGUCUACAAUAAUAAAAUAAAAAACCAUAAUACAAAGGUCUAUAAAUUAGGGCCUCCUAAAAGCACUGACAUGUUCACAUACUACACAAUGAAGGGUUUCUUUUCUAGCAUGGUGUUGUUAAAGAUUGGCUUCAUAUUCACUAUUCUUCUCAUGGCACCCAAUGUCAGGGCGAGAUGGAGUAUAGAUACUGAAAUCUCUGGAUACAGAAGGAGAUUAUUACCACAAGUUAAAAAUGAUCCACAAAUCAGUCCUAAGAUUAUGAGUUCGAGUGUCAAUGAAGAAAAACGACCCAAAAUUUCAGGGAGGGGUUAAAAAAAGUCAUUUGGUUAAUCUUGAUCAAACAAAAAUAUGUGCACUAGACAACAAAUGAGUAUUUAUCUUGUAUUUGUUUUAUUUUACUUGUCUUUAGUGCUUUGUUUAGUAAGAAUAAUAAUGAAGCAAUUCAAAUGAAUGGCAUUAUAUCCAAAAGUUGGUUGGGAUAGAAUUUUUUAAUUGUGUUUCUUUUUUAGAAAGAAAAGGAAUAACAAGUGUGACUAAAUAUGCUUUAAUUCUAAAUAAGUUGGGCUCGAUUAUAUGAAUCA